AUGAGGUGGAGGAGGCCACGCCGCCCCAACGCAGGAUUCGCAGCGCCAUCCAGCGAGCCUGCUGGUGGUGGGCUGCUGCUCGCCGAACUCCCCGGCGAGAAGCUGGUGGCGAGCCUCCGCAUCUCCCCUGCACGCUGCCCUUCUCCAUCGAGCCUACUGCUUCCCGCCGCACUCCCCGACGAGCGUGUUGCUGCUGACACCGAGCUCGUCCGGCGAGCCUCCGCCUUCGGCCCGAUUUCGGCCACAUCCUGCCCCUGCACCAUCGCUGGAACUUCACCCCGCCGCCGCCCGCCUCAUCUUCGCCGCGCCGCGACUCCGGCGAGGACAGAGCAGCCCGCCUCGUCGCCGACGCGCCACGUCCCAAUACUGGGUCCCGGAGGAGAUCCUCCCCGCCGCCGCCCGCCUCAUCUCCGCCGCGCCGCGACUCCAGCGAGGCCAGAGGAGCCCGCCUCGUCGCCGACGCUUGGUCGCUUCUCGCCCAUGUCCCGCAGCGAGGAGAUUGGGUGGAGCCGCAGGUGCCUGCCUCCACGCCAGAGCUCCUGCGGGGGAGGAGCUCCUUAA
rnacentral:rRNA from 1 species